GGUUGAGUAGUGUAGUGGUUAACAUGGUGGCUUCACAUUGACAAUGGAAGCGCUACAGCCCCGGGUUCGAUUCCCGGCUCGACUA
rfam:Metarhizium album ARSEF 1941 scaffold_4, whole genome shotgun sequence.